GGGGUCAGUAGGUUGGUCGUGCCACCGGUACGUACUGGUCUCACUGAUUCCUCCUUCCUGAAGAACCAUAAUGCCAUUAAUUUGGUGUUGCGGGGAAACAGGACUGUUACUUUGAAAAAAUUAGAGUGUUUAAAGCAAGCUAACGCUUGAAUACAUUAGCAUGGAAUAAUGAAAUAGGACGAUCGAUCCUAUUUUGUUGGUUUCUAGGAUUGACGUA
rnacentral:rRNA from 1 species